GUGCCAGCAGCCGCGGUAACACCGGCAGCUCAAGUGGUGGCCACUUUUAUUGGGCCUAAAGCGUUCGUAGCCGGCCUGAUAAGUCUCUGGUGAAAUCCCGCAGCUUAACUGUGGGAAUUGCUGGAGAUACUAUCAGGCUUGAGGCCGGGAGAGGCUGGAGGAACUCCCAGGGUAGGGGUGAAAUCCUAUAAUCCUGGGAGGACCACCUGUGGCGAAGGCGUCCAGCUGGAACGGACCUGACGGUGAGUAACGAAAGCCAGGGGCGCGAACCGGAUUAGAUACCCCCGUAGUCC
rnacentral:rRNA from 1 species